rnacentral:rRNA from 1 species
GACGAACGCUGGCGGCGUGCUUAACACAUGCAAGUCGAGCGGUAAGGCCCUUUCGGGGGUACGACGAGCGGCGAACGGGUGAGUAACACGUGGGUGACCUGCCCUUACGCUCUGGGAUAAGCCUGGGAAACUGGGUCUAAUACCGGAUAUGACUCCAUGACGCAUGUUGUGGGGUGGAAAGCCUUGUGCGGCUAGGGAUGGGCCCGCGGCCUAUCAGCUUGUUGGUGGGGUGAGGCCUACCAAGGCGACGACGGGUAGCCGGCCUGAGAGGGCGACCGGCCACACUGGGACUGAGACACGGCCCAGACUCCUACGGGAGGCAGCAGUGGGGAAUCUUGCGCAAUGGGCGAAAGCCUGACGCAGCGACGCCGCGUGGGGAUGACGGCCUCGGUUGUAACGU